AGACGAAAUUCGGUAUCCAAACUCAUUAUUCUCUUUACAAAGUUGUCCAUUUUACUAACACAGCACUGGUAAAACGUACCAAUGGCUAAGCUAGCUUUUGUAACAAUUUUUGUGUGUUGCAUGGUCAUAAUUUGCAUGAUGCAGCCUGAGGUGUCGGCGGUGCAGCAAUGUUGGGGACGAGGACAAGGUUGUCGGCUAGGACCGUGUUCGAGGAACGGCCCUUGGCCCUGCUGCUGUUCUGGAUAUUGUGCACCUGACAGAUAUUACAAAUCAGGGUGGGGAUUCUGUACUUGACCAGAUUCACGCUCCAGCAAUAACUGCAAACUUUAUUUCGAAAUGUACAUUUACAACGGUUAGAUAAAAAUCAACCAAAAACGGCAUUAAAUUUCACAUGUAUAUGUAACUAACUGGUUUGAUUUACACGAUACUAGUAGCUAUCAAUCACUCAUAUAAGUCUGAUAAUGUUGAGUCUCAUGAAUACUGAUUUUACAAAGUUUUUGGAUUCCAUACUUGCUUCGCCAGAUUCAUACAAAUUCGCCGCACAUUAUCAAUGAUGUUGAUAUUAAACCAACGCAAGGAAUAAGACAACGCGGAAGCCUUACCACUACCUUUAGCAUAGGAUGAACAC